GUCCCUGUAGCGCAAUGAAUAGCGCGUUGAACUUCUGGUCCAAAGGUCGUGGAUUCGAAUCCCACCUGGGAUG
rnacentral:tRNA from 1 species